GCCCAAACUCCGACGGGAGGCAUCAGUGGGGAAUAUUGGACAAUGUGGGAAACCCUGAUCCAGCAAUGCCAUGUGUGUGAAGAAGGCCCUAGGGUUGUAAAGCAAUUUAGUUGGGGAGGAAAGCCUCAAGGUUAAUAGCCUUGGGGGAGGACGUUACCCAAAGAAUAAGCACCGGCUAACACCGUGCCAGCAGCCGCGGUCAUACGGGGGGUGCAAGCGUUAAUCGGAAUU
rnacentral:rRNA from 1 species